rnacentral:lncRNA from 1 species
CAUUCGUCCGCAAAAUUUCUUCAUAGACUAUCUAACAUCCCAGAUAGCAGAUCAAGGUUCGACUUUUUACUGUCCGACUAUCUAUACAUCAGGAAAUUCGCUUCUUCGAUCAAGAUGGAACGCGCUAAGGUUAGUCUCCAUUUCCCAAUAAAAAAAUUAGUUAUGAUAGUUUUCGGAUCUGAUAUUGAAAAGCGUAUUGAUUCUGGAAAUUUCAUAUUCCCUGCUUCCACUCUGUCCUUGUAAGAUGUAGAUAACCCGGACAUGUAUUAGAUUGAGGUUUUGAAACAACGCAAAAUAAUUUUCGGCUAUAUAAAUCGAAUUGCAAAAUCCCAAUUGAUAUGGAUGCAGGUUUUAUAUUUGUUAUCUUCUUUGUUGCACAGAAGAUCGAUUAUGUGAUGCUUGUAAAGGGGAUAUCUGGGUGUUUCUAUCUGGAAAAAAGGAGUCGGUUGAAGAAAGUGGAUACACUGAACAACUAAAUAAUAAAGCGGAUCCUAUGCUGAUUUAAGCAGGUAUUUUCAACAAAACCUUUUGGUAAGUUCUAUUUGUUAAUUAAUCCUAAAAUAUGAAUCGAGAGUAAUGUAAUGCAGACAAUUUUAACGCCAUUAACAAAGCGAGGCAUACAGAAUUCGUAACGAUGAAAUAUUGCCUCACAACUGUCCGCGCAUUGUGAAGAACCUUUGUUCAACUUGAUUCAAGGUUAGCUUCCGAAAGCAUACAUGUUUGUGAUUGGGUUAUGAACUUCACACGAAAUCAUUAAAUACAAAAUUAUGAGAUUAGGAGUAUAACUAUCCAUAACUAUAAAUUUCUUUGAAAAGUGAACAAAGAUAUCAAGUGUAAAUAUAAGUUAGAUGUUUUAGAAACACGAAAUAAUAUUAUUCAUAAGACAACGAAUAGGUAGUAAAGCACAUUAGCAUAGUUUAAAAGAAAACCAUAAUAGAGCAGAAAAAGAAACAAAUAAAAAAAUGUAAAGUCUUGUAGAAAACUGCGUAAAUUAAAAAAAACCAAACAUCCUUGUCAUACUGUCUGUCUUCGUGCAAGUCGUCAAUAGGCAUGAGGUGGAAUCCUGCAAAAUAUUAAAAUUUUUAAAAAGGAAAUGUAAAAUCACUUUUAUGGGUUAGCUUCCUUUAUCGGUAUACAAAUGUAAAGUACUACUCACUUUUUCCUAAAUUCUUCAAUCUCUGGAAUGUUAGGCUCAAAUACAAUCUUCGAACAACCUUCAAUAUUGGUCAUGAAUCUGAAUCCACCUACCGAUUUCAAAUUGAAAACUAAUAACUUAAACAAUGAAAAGGUAAGCGUUAUAUACAUUGUAAUAUAAAGCUAUAUAUUAUUACCUUCGUCCCUUUCAAUUUGCCAAACACUUAACACACACAAAACAACAUUUGCUUUCCUUGAAUUCCAAUAAGUUAGUAAUUCAACAGCAGUAGUUCCAUAUGCAACACAAUUAAUAGGACUGUACCUGCCAUUGAUGUAGUUAAACAGUGUCAGAUUAUGACAAAAUCUAACAAAGUUAGAUUUAACAAUUGAACUGUAUAAAUGUGAGAAAAAUUACUCUGGAUUUAUUAAGCUAAAAACCGUUUUAGGUUUCACAAUACCAGCAGCAACUUCAACAAAUUCAAGGUUCCCAACAAACACCAAAGAUCCAUAGAUGUCUACACGUAUAAGCAAACCGCAACUCAAAUUUACGAAGUAAAAGACCAAAACUUAGUUUGAUUUUGUAGACUGUAAAUAAUUAAAGAUAAGUUAAUGCAAGACACAAUACCUAUGCAGAACUUGGGAUGGGCAAGGCCUCGGAUUAUGGUUUUAAAAUCUUUAAAAACAUAGUAGUUGCAUGUCAAUCGUGCUUCCAGCUUGGUAAUAACGGUGUUGACGUUGGUCACAACAUGGUAGCGGUUUGUUGUAGUUUUGACCAUACGGAAAUUGUGAAUCAGUUUGAAAUUAUAUAUUUCAUACCAUUCACCUUCCUUGACAAUGAUUUUGUUUGAUUCCAUGCAUUCAUCAUGAAAUGUUCCUUGAAUUUUACUACCCUAUAUAAACAAAUACAUCCUAACGUUAGUUAUGGCCUCAAGAAAAGAUAUACAAUUUAUGAGAAAAAAACACAAACCAUCUCAUCCACAACUAACAGCUCUGUCUCUGAAGUUGUGGUCCUCCAUUUGCUAAUAACUUGAACACGAAUAGCAGGUUUCUUAAUCUCAUACUGCAGUUUUGACAGUAAGGUAAAAGCAGACAUAAUUAAAAGAGGUUAAUAUAGAAGACUUUGUGUGUGUUUUUGGUGCACUGGCAUGGACGUAUAUAUAUAUAGGUCUUAGAGUAAUUAGGGUUCACAUCUAGUUUAAUAACGUGCAUGGCAAAGAAAGAAUAGAUUUAAACCUAGAUGUAUAGGUAAUAAAAUAUUUGUAAGCUUGUUUACGACAGUGAUAAAUAUUUUUUUUACCUUUGCGAAAACUCGGUGGUACACAGGAAAUCUAAAACAUUAGAUAUGUUUGCAAUUAAAUGUCACGGAAUUGUUAGAGCAACGGCACUGUAGAUAUUAUGCUACGUAUCGAAAGUGAAUAAAGAAGCGUGUUAGAAUCAUUAUUGGAGAUUUCCUUAAGCGUGUAAGUACACUACAAAGUACUCUUUAUAUGUUAAACACAAUUUCUAUAGUAUUUAAUGAUUAUAUAGUUAUGGAAAAGUAUCUAUAAUCUCGCAUUCAUUAUUAUUCCAGUAUAUUUUUAAAAGGCUCUCAUAUACCUUGAUGGACCAAGCGACUUCGUGCGCACAUCUAAUUCGAUACAGAAAUACCUUGGACCUUUAUUUAAAGUUGGACGGGACCUUAUUAGUACUCCGUAGUUAUUGGAUUUUAGUUUUUUUUUUAAAUGUGGCCCACUUUUGUUUGCCGUCCUAUGUACAUUCUGGACAUUUUUUCUUAUUGUAAACGGUUUCUACGAUUAUAUAUAUCAUCUGACUACAAAGAAAUGACGAACUUGGAUAUUAAAUGCAGUAUGCUCUAAUACUCAUAAUUAGCUGCUCCAUAAAUAAUUUAUAACUACGUGCAACUAUAGUAGAUGGGUUGGACAAAACGUAAACAAUGUUAUGUACUAUUUAGCCUUUAUGUUUCUAAUCUUAAUUUCUAAAAUAAUAGUGAUGCUCAAUACCAAUAAUCAAGUUAUAUAGAUUCUUGCCAGUUAAACAUGACAUAUGCAUUCUAGGUAGAAUGAGUUGUUUUACUACUAUACUAACCAAAUUUUUUAUAAAUAAUGACAGCCCUAACACGAACAUGUCGUUGAACAUCAACAAAGGAAGAAAAAGCAUUCAAAUGGAUCUGCGUUUCCACAUUGCAGUGACGGAAAAUAUUAUACCGAAUAGGUCAGUUCACAAUAACACAAAAUAGUUCUAAUUCAAAGUAGAUCAAUGUUUGACUUUGGUUUAGGUUUUCUAGCAUUUAGGUUUACUCGUUGUAGCCUAGCCUUAGUGAACCCCGGAUUAAGUCUCCGCUUGCUUACUGAUGUUUGUUAAGCUAUAUACCUGCUUGAAAAAAGAUCAAUGCAUUUGUUGUUAUCUUAUGUCAAAAGAAUUAGUUUUUCAGUUAGUCAAAAUAAUAGUUUCUAAACAAUCCGUUACGGUGUACAAAUUUAUAUUUUAUACGUCUGUUAAAAUAUAAGAUAGUCGAGCAAAAUGUAGAUGUCAUACUUCAAUGAGAUCACUCCUUCACGAAAUCGACAUUCUCUUUAAAACCUACCAUGUAGACAACACAACAUGUAACCGCAACUACUAAACGCACAAUUACAGUAUAAUUUAUGUGAUAAGAAAGCAUAUAUGUUUACCAACCAAAGCUAUGCCAAGUAUGUCGAAAUAUUGUCAAAUCAUUGCUCAUUGUCAAACAAAUUCUGGAAAACUUCUUUAUAGACAACAUUCAUGGUACUAUUCUCCUGUUUUCCAUCCUUGUCGGUUAUCAGAAUCUUUAAUCCUUUCCUUGACUUCACCCGAGACACAGCGACAUACAACUGUCCAUGGGAAAACACCGAUUUGGGUAGAUACAACCCUACGUUUGAUAAUGUUUGACCCUGGCUCUUGUUGAUUGUCAUCGCAAACGCAACCUUUAAUGGGAAUUGCCUACGCCGCAUUUUAAAUGGAAGCUUUGUAUCAGAUGGCGUAAUUAACAUUCGAUGUAACCAUACGAUCUCACCGACUCUAGUUCCUGUAAUCACUUUCGCCUGUAGAAUAUGAUUUGCCAGCUGGGUUAUCUGUAAACGCGUUCCAUUGCACAAACCCUCUUCCGGAUCGAUAUUUCUUAAUAUCAUAACAGGGGUUCCAACUCUCAGUCUAAGAGUAUGGUUUGGUAACCCUGAAGUUUUUAUACUAUUGAGGAAUUCCGGAGAGAAAAUAGAAUCAUCUUGCGAUUUCGUAUCAGUUGGAUCGAUACUGUCAGAACUUAAGUAUAUCUUCUCCUCACCUAUAACGAAAAACACAUUUUUAAAAUAUUUCUUUUGCUUACGAACUGCUAAGUAUUAAUUGAAAAUUGCGGUUAAUAUAUAGUACAACUUGACGCACCUGUUAGCUGAUCAAGCAUGUAGUUGUUUAUCACCUCAACAUCUGCAUUUGUUGGACACAAAAUAGCUCUUUCUUGAAAGAAUAUUGGAUCUCUAGAAUCUUUGAAAGUGUUUCCAUAUACUUCUGAAACAAUAGCACGAAUUGGAUCAUUAGCCUCUUUAAUCAAUAGAUCUUUCGGAAUAUCAAUCAGAACUUCUCCACUAUUUGGUUCAUUGAUUCUUCCAUCUCCCAAAGCCAAUAUCCAGUCUGAGAAUUCUUUAAUCUCUUCAGCUUCGCGAAUAUUUGUUUCUGCUAACAACCUCAUAUUUUUUGACAGUUGAAGAACUUUGCAAUGCUUCCACAAGUAUGAAUAAUUAAGCGUCGCCAUUACAAUGUCGGCCCUAUUUCCCCUUGGAAUAACUGGUAAUAUCUGUCUGAAGUCCCCUCCAAAAACGACAACUUUUCCGCCAUAAGGUGUUCCAUCUGCAGUCUUCAUAAUAUAACCCAAACUCCGAUCUAGUGCUUCAAAGCAGUGUCUACUCAUCAUAGGUGCCUCAUCCCAUAUAAUUAAAGAAGAUUUUUCUAUUACCUCGGCUUGAUCACUGCCUGGUUGAAUAUUGCAAGUGGAGGAUUCAUCUGGAUUGAUAGGAAUUCCGAACCGUGAAUGAGCUGUUCUCCCACCAGGUAGUAGUAAAGAGGCAAUGCCGCUGGAUGCCACAUUAAGUACAACAUCACCUUUAGAUCGUAUUGCAGCUGACAAAAUAUUCCACAUGAAUGUUUUUCCUGUUCCUCCAAAUCCAUAAACAAAAAAAACUCCACCUUUUUUGUUUAUAACUGCAGAUAUUAUCUCCUCGUACACUGAUCUUUGCUCAUCUGUCAUCUGCGGAAGCCAUUCAGCGUGUUUAACACGCAACUCAUCUCUUGGAUAGUUGAGCUCAUCCUGUAACAACUGAUUCUCGCAGAGGGAAUUACAGUUAUACACUGGCUUUGGCAUUGUUGUCCAUUUAUCCAAAGAAGUAUUCUUCUGACGUAGAAUAGUUUCAAUCAUAAUCAAAGUUGAAUUAAGAAUCUCUUCUUCGGUCAAAAUCAGACCUACAAAAACAAAAUUACGAUUUUUUUUACUUAAAGUAAAUUAACGCUCCUUACCAUAUAGACGUAUACAUUAACAAUCAAUCAGUAUAUACCUGGAUUACGUCGUUUUUUUCGCUCCAUAUAAAGCACAUCUUCAGACAAAAUAUCUUUAGUUUCUUCCCAAACUAAUUUAGGCAUAGACAAACUAUCCGAUAUCAACAUCUUAGCAAACAGUUUGCGCGCAUAUCCACUUGAUGCCCAGAAACUACACUCUUUCAAACCUUCAAUAUAUUCUUUGUCAUCAUCCAACAGUCCAAGGUCGAAACAUGCAUCCUCAUAACUCGGGUGAAUAACACCAUUGACAGUUCUGAUAUCUGCAUAGCACGUUGGGCCUUUUACCUUAUUUAUCAAAACCCUUAGAUAAUAUUGCGGACCUGAACCUGGGGAUACCGGCGCCAAUCUACCUAUCGCAAAACCUUUCUUCCGUGGGUUCCAUUCUUUCUGUUUUGCGUCGUAAACAAAUCUUGUUGGCAUUUGCGCAUAUGUCAGUUCUCUCGCCUCGGGGUACUUGAUACAACAUUCAAACCAAGCUAAGAACAUUGUCUUGCAUAAAAAACUGCGUUCCAUAACACUUGAAACCGUAUCACCCUCCCUGUAUAUAACCGGUUGUUCGCCUUCUAAAUGGAAUGUAAGCUUCUCCACGGGUGUAGAUCGGUAAUGCGUUGGAAAAGCCAGUAUUCUCCACGUUGCUUCGCAAGAAGAAAUAUACCUGGAAUGGAUUAUAUAGUUGUUGUUAACAGUACAACAUAGCUAAAAAAACCGUUACCCAAGUAAAGCUCUUUUAUAUAUACCUGGCCUCAAAGUACUUUUUAAUUUCAUCAACUUGUGGUUCAACGUUUUCUGAGGCGUUCGUAGUGACAGAGGCUGCUGUGACCCCAGAUGCAUCAGUAUUCCCUUCAGCUGCAGACUCAGUUGUCGAUUUUUGAGUUAUUGUUGCGGUGACACGAUCUUGGCCCUUGUUGAUGUAUUUAAAUAAAUAUUUUAUAGAUCUUGACUGAUUACACCACUCCACGUUGAUGUGUGCAUUGUAGCUAAGUAAGAGUUCCUUGUUAUAGGGGACUACAAACCUGUUGUCACAUUUAAUUCCCUUCUUCUCAAUGAAAGCUCCAUUGUCCCUUCUUCGAUACACGGGGUACCCUUGAGCAUCUACUGUCGUUGUCUCUACAAAAUUCCGUGGAAAAAACUUGCUACAUCGUCCAUCUACCAUACAUGGAGAUCCUCUGUUCACAACACCACAUGGCCCAUGAAUCAUCAUGUUUUUCACAACUUCAUAUAAUCUCGGUUCAGACUCUUUAUCAGGGAUUUCAGCAGAAAUUAUACGAUCUAUAUCUUCCGCUCCCGGUAGCUUGUGCAACGCAUCCAUAAAUAGCAGAAUAUGCGCAUGUGGAAGGCCUCGUUUUUGAAACUCGACUGUGUAGAUUGCUGUGAGUAAUACACUGAAUAAGUUAGGUAUUAUAAAACGACAUCACAACCUAUCUUUAAAAUUCACAAUACACACAAAGUAUAUACAUACCAGCAACAGUUUUCCCAAGCAGAUAUUUCUUUGUAAGAUCGUCCAUUAACCUAUCCAACUUAAUCUUGAAGAGUCGACAACACAGUUCGGGUCUGUCCUCAGCCUUUAGAUUAAACUUCUGCAUAUACCUUUCCAGCUCAGGCCAUUUUGGAUUACACGUGAAUGUAAUAAAUAGAGAGGGAAAUCCAAAGUAUUUGCAAAUCGUCAUGGCAUCUAAAUACAUUUGAUGCAUAUAUCGAGGACCCCCAGUGAAAGAAGCUGGUAAGAUAAUGCGGUUUCCCUCAAUAGACACAUUUGAAUGACCCUCAUUUGCAGCAGCAACAAACUUACUGAACUUUAGCGUCCUUAGUUUUGCCUGGUUUUUUCUGAUGAAUCGAAGACGGUGGCUUUCAAUCAUAGUAUAUGCAUCAACCAGAAAUUGUUGCAGUAGACGUCGGCUGAGAAGAAGAACAUGCGAUCCAACUUUGCGAAUCAUAAUCCGAUAGGAAAAAAAUUCCCUCAUGCUUAUAUUAGGUUUCUUGUUUUUAGUUAUUCCUGUGAAACCAUUUUUUAUUCCUAGACGAAAACCGUCCUCACCGUAAGGGAAAAUAAGAGGAUAUUGCAUAGGUAGAUAGCAAGGAUGCAACUCAUUUAUCCUCUUAAGUUUCCCAGACGUUUUCUCUAGAAUAAUAUCACGCUUGUCCAUAUUCUCCCGAAAAUCACCAACAACCAACGCAGCUACUUCCGAAGCUGUGGGUAGAUUGGUAACACGUCCAUCUUGUAAACGCGUAUGGAGCAAGACCAAAGACAGUGUUUCCGUAUCGUCUGCGUCAUUAAAUCUAUCCAUAACAUUCCGAAAAGACUUCACAUGAACAUUGCAUGCCCUCAACAUUUCCAUAAUUUCCUUUACCAGAUCCGCCCUAAUUUUGCUUUUCUCUUUGUUCCCACUGCAACAUACAAAAUUGAACCAGAAACACGAUAAGUGAUAGGGUAGUAUGAAGAAAGGGAAAUAGUUCUAUCGACCUUAUUACCUCAAUGCAGACAAUCGAUUUUGAACUUCAUUCUCUGUAUCAUGGAUAUAUAACUGAGAAAACUUUGCCGUCUCGUUAGGUUUUGGCUUCACACUUCCAAUUAAAUGAUAAUUCUCCCCAUGCAUCUUGAAAACUUUUGGACCCUUUCCCGUGUUAAUAGAAUUAUCUAUUUUCCCUCCUAGUGAUGUAAAGGAAAACAUCAUGUUUAAGGGUCUUAUAUUGUCCCGAUAAUGUUUGCUGAUAACAUCAUCAUUAGUAAGCAGCCUUAAAAGCAGUUCCGGUGGUUCUUUAAGAACAGGAAGCUUUAUUUUGCCUCUCAUACAACACAUGGUGAAUACUGGAUUUCUUGUCUUCCUGCCCUUCCCUAUUCGUUCGUUAAACCAAAAUAGCGCUCCACAGUAUGCACAUUCGUUGGUCAAAUCUCCGUCAUCUUUAUACUCUGCCAGUCAAUUACUUGUUAUGAUGAAUUCAACAGGGUCUUAUAUAGUUUGUCAUAUACUGUUGGGUUAUUUUAAACGUAUGUAUCAUUUUACCUUCUUCUUUUCUGGUAGGCGGUCCAGACACUGAAGUUAUGGCAUUACUCUGCGUAUUCCCCCCAAAUGAAUUUGAAAAACAUUCGGACACCUUGUUAAUGUAUAACUGACGUUGCUGCCUCUGGGCGAGAGUACCAUUUUCGUCAAUGUCUGAAUCAGAGUUCAAAUCAUCUGCAUCAUUGCUAGAACAGUCCCAGUACUCAUCACCCGAAUCUACACACAAAGAAUAAAAUAAAGGUGGUUUACUUUUCGCUUCAAAAUUAUCAAACAACAUAAUGAAAAGACAGCAUAUAAUAAAGUAUUACCUUCUUCAUCACUCUCAUCUACUGUAGUAAAAGUUUCCACCUCCGGGGCUGUCUGACAACUUACAUCAACUUCGGGUGCGAAUGACUUAUCUAAAGGCUGGGUAGGAUCACAGUCGAUAACUAAACCAGUAUCAUGUCUUCGUAUCGAUGACAAUGUAGAAGACCAAGUUAUAAAAUCUGGAUCCUUUACAGGCUGAGAUAUGGUUACGCUGUUAUUUUUAGAUACGUUAAGCAGAGUAUCUGGUUUCAUUAUCUCUUGCCCUUUCGACUUUUUCUUGACUGGACAAUCCAAAUCCGUCCCUGUAACGUAACGCAAAUAUCCGUUGAAAUAUGCGCAGAAUGUAAAAUAUAUUCUUAGUCAUAGUUUUCUUAAAACAAAUAAGAAGCAUAUAAUCAAAACUACCUCUGCUGUUCUGAUUCGCAUUAUCAACGCCCGGGGAUACACAUAUGGAGUCCCUUCGACUCAAUUUUCUCUUUUGCCCCACUUGAACUGGCCGUUGAUUAGUGCCAACUCUAUUAGAAGUUCCCAAAACAUUUGUUAUGUCAUUAAAGAUAGUGGAUCUUGAAUUGGUCUCCCGGUUAUUCUGUCGGAGGUCCUCCUUUUGUGUGACAACUUCGCCUUAGUUAAUAAUAUGAAACAUGCAUGAGUAUGUCUGUUAAGAAACAUCUAUGUUUGAAUAAUAUUAUCCUUUCCUAAAUGACUUCGCAUACCAGACAGAUUCAUGGUUUGCUGACUGUUCGAAACAUUUUGUUGAGUGUUGGAGCAAAUUAUGUUACUUUGAAUUCGCCCUGCUUUCAUACGCGUUGUAGAACUCCAUGCCACCGUAUUCACAUCCAUUCUCACUUGAUUUGAAGUCUGUUGGCGAACUUGUUGCCUCUUCGCUCCUUUAUGUAUUGGAGCAUACCCUUCGCUGAGAGGCACUAUGAUUAACCAUAAAGCAAGUGAAAAUCUUUAUUAGUAAACGUAGCAACAAUUUAUUCGUAUGUAUAAAUUUAAUUGAAAAGAUAUAGUCAACGACCGUCUGUCAAUAUCAUUCCUCUGAACAACUCUUGAUUACGCAAUGAUGGUUGCUUCUCUGCUACGUUUAUUCUCACUGGCACAUCAACUUGCGAAAUAGGCACUACAAUUUUAACAUAAAAAACAGCAACUACAUUGACUCUCAACUUACAGAAAGAGGUUAUAUGCUACCUAAUAUAAUUUAACGUACCCUCUGUCAAAACAAUUCCAUUGCAGAAACUCCUUCUCGUCAAAAUUUCUGUAGAACUGGAUUCUAAAAGAUCAGCUGACUCUGUAUUAGAAGAGUGAAUAUCAUUGAAAUUUCGCUUGUUUCCUAAAAUUUGACGCCUAUUAGCCCUUGCAUCCCUCUGAACACUAUGAAUAUUUCUUGAUUCGUCUUCAGCGCUUCCCAUUGCGCGGAUCUCUGCGGAUACAACAGUGGCGUAUUGCGAAAAUAUAUCAAAUUAACAUUAACGUUUUAUAGAUUAGAAAAACGCACGCUUCUUUAAUCUCGUUUGGCUUAAAAUACGACGCCUUUGGGAUCGUGCAGCUCUGUAUGUCCCUUGUCUUCCAAUGUGAUUUACAGUGCUUUGUGUAAACUCACCAGUGUCUCCCACCGGUAUCUCUGCAUAUCAUAUAGAUGGGUAGUAAUUUAAAGUGCUUAGCAAGGAUAGAACCAAAAUUCUUUUUUCACCCAUCAAACAUAUAGUGCUUACCUCCACCAUCCGUUGUAUGCGUGUGCUUAUCCAUGGUUGCUACACACGGAAUAAACAGUCAAUUACUAUUUUUAUAAGAGUAAAAGUACUUCCCCUAUUAUGGAAUCACUUUUAGGGAAAGUAAAUAUAUGUCAUAUGGGAAACUAAUCUCAUAUCUCUUACGCAAAUAUAUUACAUCUGUCAUCCAAGUUUUGUAUCAUGAUACAAUUAAAGAGGUCAUUGACAUGGCAGUCAAAUUUAUUUUGUAAAUUUGUUAAUAAUUGCUGAAUCUUAAACAGUGCGUCCUUGUAUAUUUCGGCCAUAGCACGUUAGAUUUUAUUUCAGUUUAGUAACUAUUAUUGUUACUCAAAGUAGGCAAGGGCGAUGACAAUAAAAAACCUGUGUAAUACUUGACAAAACCAAAACACGAAAUCAAUGUUUCUUUGAUAAUUGAAUAUUCCGGUACUAAAUAGCGAAAUUCAAAAAAGAGUAAAGUUGCAAUGCAGCACCAGAAAGCAAAUAACAUAAAAUUGAAAGAGGCUUUCUAUUAUAUAUUAAAACAGGAGUAAACUCCACUUUAGUUGCUCAACGUAAACAAAAAGCAAAACACCAACUGAAAGGAAAAAAACCAGCUAUAAUAUUAAAAAUCUAUAGAAAGCCUCCGUAAUAGCUCAUCGUCAACACUCUUCAGCCACUUUUUCCUAAUUUCUCUUGCUUGAUUUUGAGUGGACAUGAUUUUUUGCUCACGGAACUCUCGUCAAAUGCUUCCUGUAAAUUCAGUACGGGCCCACGUAAACGCUUCGCUGGUGUGGACUGAUCAAUUGAAACUGAGCUCGGUGACGACGAUCGGGGUAGCGUCAGAUUAGCCUAUAAUGAAUAGUGAAAUCGAUACGAAGUACAUUUAGAAUAUAACCCUACACGAAUUAACAAAUUGACGAAUUAGCCAGUAGAUAUACCUCAGGAGCAUCGGAUUGGGCUGACAUAUAUGGCACCAUCGUGUCUUCACUUGCCUAGAAAAACGGAAUAGUUAGUUAAAAAAUCUGGAAAGGUAAAUAGUUUUGGGAGACCAAAGUUUUUAGGCAAAUGUGAAUACCUUAGGCGACACGAAUUGCUCAAACUCCUCAAUCAGUUCUUUGUUGCUGAUGAUUUUCAUCACCUUGUAGGUAUCAUGUUUGUAUUGUAAAUUCUCCUUCUCAAUACUUAGCUUAAAGAGAAACGUUUUCCCAAUAAUACUGUUGAGAGCUUCAGGGAUGACAUUAGUCUCUUCCAGCUACAAUGAACAAUUGUAUAUAUUAGCACAAAAAAAACUAAGAAAAAACGCUUAAUAAACUUAAAACGGAUUACCAUAUCGUUUAGCAUCGGUCCUGCAAGCUCAGUGCAUGGUUGACGAAGAAGUUGCACAGCAUGGUUAUCAAACAGAAGCAACUUUGUCGUCAAUCUUGUUUCAUCAACAACAACCAAAUGCAACUUGUACCUAAUUCAUAAUAAAUUGAACUCAUAUAGGUAUGCUGUUUAUAAAGUGAAUCUAUGGUAUAAAAUAUACCUUACUAUAAAAACAAAGACGUGUUCCUCACCUUGGCAUUAUCGAAGGUUUAUACGUGUUGCAUUUGACACAAAAGUAUAUAUGCCCCAUCACAUCUUCGCCACUACCAUCUUCUAUGGUCUCAUUUGGUACAGUUAAAACUUUUUUGGAACACACUUUGCAGCUAAGAUAGAACCACCCCAUAUCAGCGUCAAUAGAAACAACCGUGCUCAUCAGAAUGCACCUCUCCAACUGAAAAAUUUAAAAGAGUUUAUGCUAGGAUACGAACGCCCAGAUUUUAAAAAGUUAACGCAGAGGUAUAACGCUAACCUGUUUAGUACAGAAAAGCUCAGCGAUAUUCUUUCUGCUUGUGUGCACAAAAAAAUCAUCCUUAUCAGACACGCCAGAAAUUGCUCUGUUAGGAUUAGCCUCGACAAUUGAUAAAGACAUGUUAUCCUUUGGCAACCUAAUGACAAUAAAAGAUUAUACAAUGUUAGUUGCUAAUUAAUAUAUAUUUUUAAUAACAUUCAACAUUGAUGAAAAAACUUACAUUUCAAUAAAAGCAUGAGCCUCUGCGCUCGUUGGAUUGACAAAGAUGUCAGAAACAUUGUAAGCGUUUGAAAUGCUAUACUCAUCUGAUACAAAUAAAGGACCAUCAUAUGAAUUCGUAAAGUACAACAGUAUAUUCAGUAUUCAAUAAUUCAAUUUGUACCUUUCCACACUUUAAUCUUGCCAAACCUUAACACAAAUAUGACAGACUGUCCGUUACUUCCUUGGAUAGCAUCAUCAAUAUCAUUGGCAAAUUUUCCCCACAGGACAACUGUAAGCCGAUCAUCCCUACGACACCAUUUGUAAAUACACCUUUCAGAUACGCUAACAAACACAGUGCAUUUCACCAGGAAUUGAUGGGCAAUAUAUUACUGAUGGGGCACACAAAUAUGUGUAUAAUAAGCUUACACCGAGUCACGCAGUUGCAAUGCUAUCUUAUUUGUAUCCUUUCCAUUCACAGCAACAACUUCAACAUUACUCACCUCGACAACCUGUCCAAUUACAUCUGCAAUAUAGAACAGAUAGACCUUUUAACACUUAAUAGACCACUAUAAGCGAAAGAAAUGAAUUCAAAAUAUGAUUUGAGUAAAGGGAAAGAUCGGUACUAACCAACCAAAUAAUCAGGGUUCAUAGCCCCUUCAAGAACCUCUCUGUAUUUCACAGGUGAGAAUUCCGGGACAUUAUCUGUCCAAUCAUCACAGUAACGAACACGGGUGGUGGAAAGGAAUCCGAUUUUGUAAGCAUGCUUGGACGUUCGAUAGGAACCAACAGAUUGGGUUAGUGCAAAAUUGAGGAGUAUUUUCCUGUAACCUUGCUUCAGAGCUGGUUCAAACUGUGCAACCAGCUCUUUCUUCACUGAUGCAUGGAUUCGGUCACCCUAAGACAUGUAACAAUAAAUAAGACAAUAAGUUAGAUUUCAUGCCAAAGAGAACAUGAAGCCAUAUAGACAAACAUUUUGGACAGAAGUACUGAAAAAUAUUUGUAAAGUUACGUUUGAAUCAAUGAGCACCAUCUCCAUAGUUUCUCCACCGGCAGCCGAAUAUUGCUUCCAUAAUCGAAUCACUUUAACCUUAAUCAUCCACAUCGACUUCUACGGUUUGAGUUCAGAGAUCGCGCUGGUACGCAUCAUUAUUUUUUUUUAAGCUUUUGUGAUGAAGGUGUUUCUGUGUAUUGAAGUCCGAAACUCUCGAAUUGGUUAUAUAGCCAUGGUAUUUAGGGUUUGUAUUGAAUUCAACGUGAAGAGAAAGCUAAGUAUUAAUGACUAAAUAUUUACUCACAUUCAAUACAUAUAUAUGUGUAUGGUACUAAAGUUUCCAAAACUGUUUGCUUGAUAAAGAAGUAGGAAAGUAUGACGCCAUUAAGUUUGCUUGAUAAAGAAGUAGGAAAGUAUUACGAUAAUAAGUCUGCUUGAAAAAGAGUUAGGAAAUUGUAAGGCGUCAACCUAUAUCGCUAUAUCUUGGUCGUAGGAGCAAUGUAUAUAGUGUUUAUAUACAUAAAUACAUUAAUAUGGAAAAUAAUAUUUACAUAGCGGCAAGAAUCCAAUAAUAUUAAUAUAAUUCAAAUUCACAGACGCUACAACAUUAUAAUAAAUGUUUGUUUUCCAAUAUUUUUUUUACCUAUUUACCAAAUCUCAAAUAACAAAACCAGUUAUUCCUCCAUAUAUAUAUAUAUAUUAGAAAUAUAUAUGAUAAUAACAAAUAUUCUUAUACUUAAAAGAAAUACUAAUUGUUUAAAUAAAGGCGAGAAGAAUAUACUUCAAAACACGAAAUAAACACAUGACUUAAUCUUUCCAAGAAGCUUAACACCCUGUCAUUUUUGAACGGAUGAGUACGUUGUCUGAUUUUAAAAAAAUUUCCGCAUGUAUGCACGUAAAUUCGAAUGUAACGUCCUAAAGAUGCAGAUCACGAAGAAUAAUAUUCUUCUCGUUUGGACGUGCUUUAUGAAGUGUUGCAUAAACAACUUAUACUUGCAUGCGUGAAAGCUAUACACGACAAACAAACUAAAAUCGAUGCGGAAUUAGGCAUCAUAGGAAUGAAACAACAACUCAGACAAUACAUAAUAGAGUAGAAUGAAAUUGAAGUCAAGAAUCGUUAAAGAGGCUUUCUUUAAUAUAAAAAUACCUGAGAAAUCAACAGAUAGUGCUUUAUAGCUAAAGCAAUAUAAGUUUGCAAUAUUAAACAAAACAAAAUAAAAUAAACUAACUCCCUUAUAAAAUGCAAAAAAUGAAAGCCUUAAUAUCUCUAGAAACUCAACCAAAUUUUAGCCACUUUUGUCUAACUUCUCCUUCUUGAUCAUGACGGAACUGAAACAGUUUGAUCCCGAAUUCUGAGCAUUGCUCUCACCAAAGUCCCUGUUCAAGGCCCUUAUUCGUUUAGCAGGCCUCAUAGCAAAAGAAUCUGACAUAUCUGCUAAAUCGGAGUGAAUGUCCAUACUAUCAAUGUUGGUGCCUUCAGCUGCCUGAAGAAAACCAACGUAUAGAAUGAAAAAAACUAAAACAAAAUCCUUUGUAAAAUAUGAGAUCAACCAAAAAAAGCUAGCUUACAUUCGUACAACCAAUGUCCUGAUACCGAUUUUUCGAAUUCUUGUCUGUAAUUAGCUUUAAGACCGGGUACGAUUGGUGUUUGUUGAGUAGAUUCUCUCGUUCAAUUCCUAUCUUGAAGAGGUAUGUUUUACCAACUACAGUGUUAAGCGCGUGUAGGAGGACAUCUGUUCGGGCAAUCUACAAAAUUGCAAACAAAAGAUCAGAACUGGAGAUUCCACAUUAAAAUUAUGUACGACGCAACCGUAAGAUUACAACCUCCGGUUUAUCGGAUGGUCCACCAACAUGUAACAAUGGUUGAUUGAGUAGUUGAGCAACAUGAUUAUCAAACAACACAAACUUAGUGUUGGUUGUGUUAUCAAGCACAACCAAAUGCAACCGAUACCUACAUUAUACACAGUUGUUAGUGGCCUGAAUUUUUCAACGUGUAUUGCAAAGUAAUGAAAAAAUAAAAAAAUCCCAUACCUAGUAUCAGUUUUUGGAUUGUAAGUAUUGCACGUUGCACAAUAACAACAUUGCUCGAGCACAUCAUCCUUAUACUUUGGCACACUCCAGACUUCCUUAGAACACACUUUGCAUGUCCAGUAGAACCACCCCAUGUCCGCAUCAAUGGCAGCGACUGUGCACAGCACAAUACACUUCUCAACCUUGCAUGAAAGUAAUGAUUCAAGUUAAAGUCACAACCAAGUUGAAAAUAUAUUGUUUGUAAGUUAAAGAAACCAAUAGUUAAUUAGACAUUUGUAACAAACCUGUUUUGUUUGUAAAACCUCCGCAAGUGUUUUUCUAGGUGUAGGGCGGAAGGAAGCAUCUCCAUCUGAGGAACCGUUUACCCCGGCUUCAUACUGUGACUCCACAAUGGCUAAAGGGAGAUCAUCCUCUGGCAAACUAAUUAUUCAAAUCCAUCAAAUAUAAUAGCAGGCAAUACAUUGAAACUUUCCAUGCUCACGAAUGUCCAUAUCAUAAAAAUAAAUCAACUGAUAGAGGCAUAAAAAAAACCGUGAAUACCUAGCAAGGAAAUUGUUAACCUCAGUCAUCGCCGGAUCCAAUACAAUAUCACUGAUAUUAAAAGCAUUGCUGACACAUAGUUCUCCUGUUAUAACGAUCAAUUGGUACGUUAAUUUUAAGCUCUUAAUAAUUUAUGAAAUAAUAGUAAACAAAAACGCUUUAUUAUAAUUACCAUUCCACACGUUGAUUUUUCCAAAACGCAAGACACAUAUGGUUGUGUACUCGCUUCGCACCUGGAUUGCAUAAUUAACAUCACAUGCAGCAUUUCCCCACAGCACCAAUGGAAUUCUUUCAUCACUGAAAUUAAAAAAAAAAAUAUUAAAUAAUAACAUUAGAAAACAAAACAAUUAUAUUAACGAAAAAGAAGGUCUCGAUCAAAUAAAAUGAAAACACUUACUCGGAGUUUCGCAAUUCCACACAGAGUUUCUCUGUCUCCUGUCCAUUGACAUUAACAUGUUCAAUGUGACUAACCUUAACAAUAUGGCCGAUUAUAUCUGCAUAUAAACGAUUCGUUUUGUUUUGUAAGAUCUAAUAAGUGGUGCAAUAAAGAGUACAUUUUUAUAAAAGACACUAACCAAUUAAAUAAUCCGGAUUUAGACUGCCGUCAAGCACUUCGUUGUACUUCACGGGUUGGAAUCCGCAAAGUUCCCCCGGCAGUUGUUCACUGGGUAGGACACGGGUUUUGGAUAGGAAACUAAUCCGGUAAGGAUGCGUUGUUGUUCUAUACGAACCAACAGAAUGCACCAAGGAGAAAUUGAUGAACAUGUUUGAGUGUCCUUCUUUCAGGAAGGGAUCGUAUUUAGCCACCAACUCCUUCUUCACUGAAGCAUGAAUUUUAUUUCCCUGUGUAUAAAACGGAGAAAGAAUUAUGUCAAGAGAUGCAUGCAUAUCCCCUAUAAUAGUACAUGGGAAAUGUUUUAAAAAAAACAUCCAAACCUUAACAUCGCACAGAACCAUAUCAAUGGUCUCACCACCACCACCAGUUGUUUGUUUCCACAAUCGAAUAACCUUCACCUUGAUCGUCCAGCUGGUUUUGAACGGUUUCAAAUCGACAAUAGAAGUUACAGAUGCCAUAUUGUGGGAAUCGAUUGUUUGUUCUUAUUGGCAGCGUCGCAAUAUGAUGUGCUCAACCAAAGGUGAAAACCGAGCUUUUUUUAUAGUAAUAUAUUUUAGGUUAAAUGUUUCGAUGAUUAAGAAAAAAUCAAAUAUUGCACUUAUGAAACAUUAACUAAAUUCCCAAAAAAAAAUUGGAAUGUUUUACCUUGGUGAGAACGUUUUCCAUUUUACUUAGGGACUUGCCGUCAUAGAUUUUUUUAGAACCCUCUAGCAAGUAAAAAUAUCUUUUCUACGAAUUAAAGGAAAUUAUAACGACUUCUUAGGAAAGAGCGUACCAGUAUUAUUAUUAUUUUUUUGUAAAAAAGCCAUAAAAAUCAUACCAUUAUUAUUACAUAUUUAGUUUUCCGUAUGUGCUCCAAUCUAUAUUUAAUCAAGCCUUGGGGAUUAAGUUUUACCAUAUUCAAUUUAUUUUUCCAUUUCCUUAUAAUCCAGAAGUGUGCAUGCCAAGUUUAUUCAACUUUCGACGCUAUACCAUGUCAAAAUCCCGGUUUGCGAGAAUUCAAAUAAUACUCAUACCGACUGUUUUAUUUCACAUAUGGUUCGGUUCUAAUUAAAAUUAUAAACCGGCCACCAGCUUUACCUUGAUCAAAACUCUGUUAUUUACAGAACACUAUUGACAUUACUUCUAUGGUUUCUUAGCAACGUGUUAAUUUGAUUGUGUACUUUUAAUUAUAAACAGAUACAUGAUCACUUAAUCCCAACGUCUGAAUUAGACACGAUAGAUGACGCCAUGGCAACCAACUUUCGACAGUUCCAUGGUCUACGCUAAUUAUUGUUCAUGACGUCUUC